rnacentral:tRNA from 1 species
GCUCCCAUGGCGUAGUGGUCACUGUGAUCGCCUUGCACGCGGGAGACCCGGGUUCGAUUCCCGGCGGAGUCA